AAAAUAGGGUUUUCUCAAU
rnacentral:snRNA from 1 species